AUGCUCCUCCUUUUACUGUGGUGUUCUCCGAGCCUUGCGCCUCCCUUCUUCCCACAACGAGUUGCAAGUCUCUUGCUCUUGACUCUACAAAGAAAGCAUCAAAUGAUUCGUCAGUUGGUAAAUCUGCUGUUGUACUUCCCUAUUGGUCUCGAUGGUUGCUGGUUUUCGUUUGUCGUGUGUAUCGAAGAUAGAGCUUUUAUGUUUCUUGACUCAGCGUUUGGAGAGAACUCAACGUAUCAUAGAGAUAUCUAUGAUGAGCUGGUGAUUUUUCUUUUUGAAAACAGAUUCAUAAUAUCACUCCUAUGA
rnacentral:rRNA from 1 species